rnacentral:rRNA from 1 species
CCGCGGUAAAACCAGCACCUCAAGUGGUCAGGAGGAUUAUUGGGCCUAAAGCAUCCGUAGCCUGCUCUGUAAGUUUUCGGUUAAAUCCAUUAGCUCAACUUAUGGGCUGCCGGAAAUACUGCAGAGCUAGGGAGUGGGAGAGGUAGACGGUACUCGGUAGGAAGGGGUAAAAUCCUUUGAUCUAUUGAUGACCACCUGUGGCGAAGGCGGUCUACCAGAACACGUUCGACGGUGAGGGAUGAAAGCUGGGGGAGCAAACCGGAUUAGAUACCCGGGUAGUCCCAGCUGUAAACGAUGCAGACUCGGUGAUGCACUGGCUUGUGGCCAGUGCAGUGCCGCAGGGAAGCCGUUAAGUUUGCCGCCUGGGAAGUACGUACGCAAGUAUGAAACUUAAAGGAAUUGGCGGGGGAGCACCACAAGGGGUGAAGCCUGCGGUUC